rnacentral:lncRNA from 1 species
CGCCGAGGAGGGCGGGGGUCUCACGGAAGAGGCCCACCCACCUUGCCCGUGAGGUCGUAGCUCGGACUGCAGGGCGGGGAGCGCUCGGGGGCCUCGCCAUCCCGGGUGGCAACGGCGCCUGGCGUGCCCGUCAUGUCCCUGGACGAGAGGAAAUCGGCCUCAAUUUUCUUGCCAAGCUAGCGGCAAAAUUUGGAGAUCUCACCUCUGUGGUCUGUGGAACUGUGGCACUGCUGCGUCCUGACCCUGAGCGUGAUCUCACAGGCCCUGUGCUCUGGUCUCAGAGGUUCCCAAACAUCCGCGUUGUCCAAGAAGAGAUGUUUGCUCUUCCCCAUCUUGAGAUGCUAGGAUUCUGGAGUCCCAAGGGAAGGCCCUGCUCUUCCUGCCACAGCCCGAGAGAGGAGUGGAACCCUCUCCCAAGGUCUUCCCAGGAAUUCAAGGGCAGCUGCAGCCGCAGGCACGGGACAACGCGGGGAGAUGGGAUGUGUGGUAAAGGAGGGAUCCCUUGUCUCGCAGAGGGGCUGCGGGCAGAAAAAGCCGAGGGCACUGGGCUUCCUUAACCCGAGCUGCCCUUUUACCAUUUUACCGAGGACUAAACACGGAACUGUAACCUGGGCCUGCCAGCUCCCUGAGACCCGUGUGACUGCUAAGUUUGGACUGUGCUGAAAACUUUGUCGUCCCUUUGUCCCUCCAGAUCUUCUUGCCUUGGAGGGCUGACCUGAGCUAUCCCAUAUUAAAAUAUUU